CACCGAUGGCGAAGGCAGNUCUCUGGGCAGUAACUGACGCUGAGGAGCGAAAGCAUGGGGAGCGAACAGGAUUAGAUACCCUGGUAGUCCAUGCUGUAAACGGUGGGCGUUAGGUGUGGGGACCGGUUUGGUUUCUGUGCCGUAGCCAACGCAUUAAGCGCCCCGCCUGGGGAGUACGGCCGCAAGGCUAAAACUCAAAGGAAUUGACGGGGGCCCGCACAAGCGGCGGAGCAUGUGGAUUAAUUCGAUGCAACGCGAAGAACCUUACCUGGGUUUGACAUGCACCAGACGGUUGUAGAGAUACGUACCUCCCUUUGUGGUUGGUGUGCAGGUGGUGCAUGGUUGUCGUCAGCUCGUGUCGUGAGAUGUUGGGUUAAGUCCCGCAACGAGCGCAACCCUUGUCUUAUGUUGCCAGCACUUUGGGUGGGGACUCAUGAGAGACUGCCGGGGUUAACUCGGAGGAAGGUGGGGAUGACGUCAAAUCAUCAUGCCCUUUAUGCCCAGGGCUUCACACAUGCUACAAUGGUUAGUACAACGCGCUGCGAACCUGUGAGGGUGAGCGAAUCGCUGAAAGCUAAUCUCAGUUCGGAUUGGGGUCUGCAACUCGACCCCAUGAAGUCGGAGUCGCUAGUAAUCGCAGAUCAGCAAUGCUGCGGUGAAUACGUUCCCGGGCCUUGUACACACCGCCCGUCACGUCAUGAAAGUUGGUAACACCCGAAGCCCAUGGCCUAACCACCAUUUUUUGGUGGGGGGAGUGGUCGAAGGUGGGA
rnacentral:rRNA from 1 species